AUUCCUACGGGAGGCAGCAGUGGGGAAUUUUCCGCAAUGGGCGAAAGCCUGACGGAGCAACGCCGCGUGAGGGAUGAAGGCCUCUGGGCUGUAAACCUCUUUUAUCAAGGAAGAAGAUCUGACGGUACUUGAUGAAUAAGCCACGGCUAAUUCCGUGCCAGCAGCCGCGGUAAUACGGGAGUGGCAAGCGUUAUCCGGAAUUAUUGGGCGUAAAGCGUCCGCAGGCGGCCUUGUAAGUCUGUUGUUAAAGCGUGGAGCUUAACUCCACUUGAGCAAUGGAAACUGCAAGGCUUGAGUGUGGUAGGGGCAGAGGGAAUUCCCGGUGUAGCGGUGAAAUGCGUAGAUAUCGGGAAGAACACCAGUGGCGAAGGCGCUCUGCUGGGCCAUAACUGACGCUCAUGGGCGAAAGCCAGGGGAGCGAAAGGGAUUAGAUACCCCUGUAGUCCUGGCCGUAAACGAUGAACACUAGGUGUCGGGGGAAUCGACCCCCUCGGUGUCGUAGCCAACGCGUUAAGUGUUCCGCCUGGGGAGUACGCACGCAAGUGUGAAACUUAAAGGAAUUGACGGAAU
rnacentral:rRNA from 1 species